GACAGAGGGUGCAAACGUUGUUCGGAAUUACUGGGCGUAAAGCGCAUGUAGGCGGUUCGUAAAGUCAGAUGUGAAAGCCCUGGGCUUAACCCAGGAAGUGCAUUUGAAACUCACGAACUUGAGUCCCGGAGAUGAAGGCGGAAUUCUCGGUGUAGAGGUGAAAUUCGUAGAUAUCGAGAGGAACAUCGGUGGCGAAGGCGGCCUUCUGGACGGUGACUGACGCUGAGACGCGAAAGCGUGGGGAGCAAACAGG
rnacentral:rRNA from 1 species